UACGAAGGGGGCUAGCGUUGCUCGGAAUCACUGGGCGUAAAGCGCACGUAGGCGGCUUUUUAAGUCAGGGGUGAAAUCCUGGAGCUCAACUCCAGAACUGCCUUUGAUACUGAGAAGCUUGAGUCCGGGAGAGGUGAGUGGAACUGCGAGUGUAGAGGUGAAAUUCGUAGAUAUUCGGAAGAACACCAGUGGCGAAGGCGGCGCACUGGCCCGGUUCUGACGCUGAGGUGCGAAAGCGUGGGGAGCAAACAGG
rnacentral:rRNA from 1 species